UACGAAGGGAGCUAGCGUUGUUCGGAAUCACUGGGCGUAAAGCGCACGUAGGCGGAUGUGUCAGUCAGGGGUGAAAUCCCGGAGCUCAACUUCGGAACUGCCUUUGAUACAGCACGUCUUGAGUCCGAUAGAGGUGGGUGGAAGUUCCUAGUGUAGAGGUGAAAUUCGUAGAUAUUAGGAAGAACACCGGUGGCGAAGGCGGCCCACUGGAUCGGUACUGACGCUGAGGUGCGAAAGCGUGGGGAGCAAACAGG
rnacentral:rRNA from 1 species